rnacentral:rRNA from 1 species
AACGAACGCUGGCGGCAGGCCUAACACAUGCAAGUCGAGCGCCCUUUCGGGGGAGCGGCGGACGGGUGCGUACCGCGUGGGAAUAUGCCCUUCUCUACGUAAUAGCCUCGGGAAACUGAGAGUAAUACCGUAUACGCCCUGUGGGGGAAAGAUUUAUCGGGGAAGGAUUAGCCCGCGUUGGAUUAGGUAGUUGGUGGGGUAAUGGCCUACCAAGCCGACGAUCCAUAGCUGGUUUGAGAGGAUGAUCAGCCACACUGGGACUGAGACACGGCCCAGACUCCUACGGGAGGCAGCAGUGGGGAAUCUUAGACAAUGGGGGCAACCCUGAUCUAGCCAUGCCGCGUGAGUGAUGAAGGCCUUAGGGUUGUAAAGCUCUUUCAGCUGGGAAGAUAAUGACGGUACCAGCAGAAGAAGCCCCGGCUAACUCCGUG